GGGGCGCGUGCACGACGAGCAAUUAUAUUGGAGCACGCGUGACCCGAACGAACCACGCGUGACCCGAACUAAGUAACCUGCGCAUGAGUUUCCUUAAGAAUGGUUCAAGUCUGGUUCGGAAGACUAACCCUUGCGUUUCUGUCUGUACGAUCGGAAAAUGUAAAGCACAAUUUGAUAACAAAAUUAAUUAACAAAUGACAUUUCAAUAAUCAUUGAUCUCUUUGAUUAACUUUACAAAUACAAUAAUUUCACAUGUUAUUACACCUCGUUGUGGUCAGGUUCGUUGAUUGAUUGAGGUGAGGCAAGAAUUUCACAAAGGCAUGCGAGAUUGAUGAAGUGUUGGAUGAGUGGAGAGAUUGUAUGUGUACUCUUCAAGGAAAUACAUGCAUAACCCCUAUGUUAGGGUCAUGUGUGUGUAUGUGGGUUUUAGGUGUGUUGAGAGACUUAGCUCCGUGGAGGCCAAGUGACUAAGUAUAGAACAUAGCCACCACAACCAACAAGCAAGAUCUCUUAAGUGAAAGCAACUUGGUGCUUGUGAUUUCUAGAGAGAAUCUCUCAAGCUCUUCA
rnacentral:lncRNA from 1 species